AUGUUACUAGGGGUGCCUAAAAGCUGAGAGAGUGAUUACUCAACCCUUUGAACCUGAUGUGGUUAGAACCAUCGAAGGAAAGUAAGUAAUUU
rnacentral:ncRNA from 1 species